rnacentral:rRNA from 1 species
GAAUUCGCCCUUAGAGUUUGAUCCUGGCUCAGGACGAACGCUGGCGGCGCGCCUAACACAUGCAAGUCGAACGAGCGAGAGAGAGCUUGCUUUCUCGAGCGAGUGGCGAACGGGUGAGUAACGCGUGAGGAACCUGCCUCAAAGAGGGGGACAACAGUUGGAAACGACUGCUAAUACCGCAUAAGUCCACAGCUCGGCAUCGAGCAGAGGGGAAAGGAGCAAUCCGCUUUGAGAUGGCCACGCGUCCGAUUAGCUAGUUGGUGAGGUAACGGCCCACCAAGGCGACGAUCGGUAGCCGGACUGAGAGGUUGAACGGCCACAUUGGGACUGAGACACGGCCCAGACUCCUACGGGAGGCAGCAGUGGGGAAUAUUGCACAAUGGGGGAAACCCUGAUGCAGCGACGCCGCGUGGAGGAAGAAGGUCUUCGGAUUGUAAACUCCUGUUGUUGGGGAAGAUAAUGACGGUACCCAACAAGGAAGUGACGGCUAACUACGUGCCAGCAGCCGCGGUAAAACGUAGGUCACAAGCGUUGUCCGGAAUUACUGGGUGUAAAGGGAGCGCAGGCGGGAAGACAAGUUGGAAGUGAAAUCUAUGGGCUCAACCCAUAAACUGCUUUCAAAACUGUUUUUCUUGAGUAGUGCAGAGGUAGGCGGAAUUCCCGGUGUAGCGGUGGAAUGCGUAGCUAUCGGGAGGAACACCAGUGGCGAAGGCGGCCUACUGGGCACCAACUGACGCUGAGGCUCGAAAGUGUGGGUAGCAAACAGGAUUAGAUACCCUGGUAGUCCACACCGUAAACGAUGAUUACUAGGUGUUGGAGGAUUGACCCCUUCAGUGCCGCAGUUAACACAAUAAGUAAUCCACCUGGGGAGUACGACCGCAAGGUUGAAACUCAAAGGAAUUGACGGGGGCCCGCACAAGCAGUGGAGUAUGUGGUUUAAUUCGACGCAACGCGAAGAACCUUACCAAGUCUUGACAUCCCUUGACAGGCAUAGAAAUAUGUUUUCUCUUCGGAGCAAGGAGACAGGUGGUGCAUGGUUGUCGUCAGCUCGUGUCGUGAGAUGUUGGGUUAAGUCCCGCAACGAGCGCAACCCUUAUGGUCAGUUACUACGCAAGAGGACUCUGGCCAGACUGCCGUUGACAAAACGGAGGAAGGUGGGGAUGACGUCAAAUCAUCAUGCCCUUUAUGACUUGGGCUACACACGUACUACAAUGGCGUUAAACAAAGAGAAGCAAGACCGCGAGGUGGAGCAAAACUCAGAAACAACGUCCCAGUUCGGACUGCAGGCUGCAACUCGCCUGCACGAAGUCGGAAUUGCUAGUAAUCGUGGAUCAGCAUGCCACGGUGAAUACGUUCCCGGGCCUUGCACUCACCGCCCGUCA